rnacentral:rRNA from 1 species
UGCGUAUUAACUUGUUGGUGGGGUAACGGCCUACCAAGGUGAUGAUACGUAGCCGAACUGAGAGGUUGAUCGGCCACAUUGGGACUGAGACACGGCCCAAACUCCUACGGGAGGCAGCAGUAGGGAAUCUUCCACAAUGGACGAAAGUCUGAUGGAGCAACGCCGCGUGAAUGAAGAAGGCCUUCGGGUCGUAAAAUUCUGUUGUCAGAGAAGAAUGUGCGUGAGAGUAACUGUUCACGUAUUGACGGUAUCUGACCAGAAAGCCACGGCUAACUACGUGCCAGCAGCCGCGGUAAUACGUAGGUGGCAAGCGUUGUCCGGAUUUAUUGGGCGUAAAGGGAACGCAGGCGGUCUUUUAAGUCUGAUGUGAAAGCCUUCGGCUUAACCGAAGUAGUGCAUUGGAAACUGGAAGACUUGAGUGCAGAAGAGGAGAGUGGAACUCCAUGUGUAGCGGUGAAAUGCGUAGAUAUAUGGAAGAACACCAGUGGCGAAAGCGGCUCUCUGGUCUGUAACUGACGCUGAGGUUCGAAAGCGUGGGUAGCAAACAGGAUUAGAUACCCUGGUAGUCCACGCCGUAAACGAUGAGUGCUAAGUGUUGGAGGGUUUCCGCCCUUCAGUGCUGCAGCUAACGCAUUAAGCACUCCGCCUGGGGAGUACGGUCGCAAGACUGAAACUCAAAGGAAUUGACGGGGGCCCGCACAAGCGGUGGAGCAUGUGGUUUAAUUCGAAGCAACGCGAAGAACCUUACCAGGUCUUGACAUCUUCUGACAAUUCCAGAGAUGGAACGUUCCCUUCGGGGACAGAAUGACAGGUGGUGCAUGGUUGUCGUCAGCUCGUGUCGUGAGAUGUUGGGUUAAGUCCCGCAACGAGCGCAACCCUUAUUGUCAGUUGCCAUCAUUAAGUUGGGCACUCUGGCGAGACUGCCGGUGACAAACCGGAGGAAGGUGGGGAUGACGUCAAAUCAUCAUGCCCCUUAUGACCUGGGCUACACACGUGCUACAAUGGACGGUACAACGAGUCGCUAACUCGCGAGGGCAAGCUAAUCUCUUAAAGCCGUUCUCAGUUCGGAUUGCAGGCUGCAACUCGCCUGCAUGAAGUCGGAAUCGCUAGUAAUCGCGAAUCAGCAUGUCGCGGUGAAUACGUUCCCGGGCCUUGUACACACCGCCCGUCACACCAUGAGAGUUUGUAACACCCAAAGUCGGUGGGGUAACCUUUUGGAGCCAGCCGCCUAAGGUGGGACAGAUGAUUGGGGUGAAGUCGUAACAAGGUA